AAGCUUCCUGGAGGCUGAUUUGCUUGAUCUUCUGUGUAAGUGGCAGAGCCGAGGAACCACAGGCAUUGAAGUGGAGGAGAUCAAAAUCUUAAUAGAUGGGGAAGCUGAGAGAUAGUCAGCAGCCAAACAAGAUGAAGUUUGGGAGGUCUUCGGUUCCUCAGAUAAUGCCACUGGGCUUCUCCAGUUUUACCUGCCAGAUCUCCGUGGGAAACUGCCAUCGCUAGUCCAAGUGCUAAAGGUGAGUCACGGUUUCCGGCUCUGUAAGCAGGUUUGAUCCUCGGCCUCCAGAAACACUGGUGGGAAUAAACGGCAUUUGAUGGAUCCAAGAAGGCAGAGCCACGGAUGCCUGGAGAGAUGGAGAAGAAAGAGCGUCCCGGGGCUGCGGAGGAAUGCUGGGUAGAAUGAGAGGCUGUAGGAGCGCACUUCCGGCCACCCACCCCUCCUCAGCCUUCAUCACUGGAAUCACGGAGGGGGUGGGUGGGGCGGGAGGGCUGUCGGAGUACUGGUGCCUAGGGCCCCGGAAAGUUCUCUUGGAAGAAUCUGCCACAUGGGCUGGGCCUCACUCAGGAGCACUCUGAGGAGCUGUCAUGGACAGGAAUCAGUUGUCCGGAAGGACAAGAUUUCUGUCAGUCCUCAAAGCUUUGCUUCCAGCACCGACCCUGGAUCCUGUCUCCACCCUCGUAUUGUCAGCCACCCGUUAUGUCGUCCUUCACUGUUAUUUUAAUUUGUGUUGAAUUCCUGCUGUUUUAUGCCAAAAGAAAUCUAACUGAAACACAAGCUAUUCUGUGAGCAUUCCUAGCCCUGGUUCAGUGUCCGUGAUGGCUCAGGCAUGCUCAGAAGAGCUUCACUUCGGUUAACUCGGUAAAGUCCUUAUAAUCAUGCUGGACUUGGAAAAUCCUUUUACCACUCA
rnacentral:lncRNA from 1 species